CCCACCCGGGGGCCAGCGGGACCCCGCGGGCGCGGGGGUAGACGCCCCGCCUUGGGCGGAGGUCCUCCUCUCCAGUUUUCGCGACCCUAGUGGGCCCCUUUGCCGCGUAAGUUUCCCGCUGGACCAGUGGCUUCAGCAGCUCAAGACCCAGAGAGGAAGGUGGGGGGCACUUGAAUGUAGCCCCCCUUCUCUUUCUCCCAGCCUGGCGAUUUCUCUGUUGUCGGCUCAGGGAUUGGAGACUGCACAGUCCAGGAUCUCCCCGCUGGAGGAAAGCCAGCCUAGUCCCAGCUUUUCUCAGCCUCCUGGCACUACCCUCCCCCCCCCUGGGUAGGGGUCCUUCAGUAAGGGUUAGGAAUUCUCCCUGAGCCAAACCUGACUGGAAGGGGGGGGGCGGUCCAACCUGUCUGCCCCCCCCCCUUCUCCAGGGCACCUCUGAGUUGGCAAAUUGUUUCCUUUCUUUGCCUUGCUCCCCUCUCAGGGGUAUGUGCGGAGAGAAGCCUCCUGCUUGGCAAGGGUCUGAGAGGGGUUUGGCGGUCUGGGGUGCCCCUCCUGGGCAGGGGCAAGGGGAAUGCCAACUUUGGUUGGCAAAACUUUCAAGCCCCUAUUCCUUGGUUUCUUUGGUGAGGGUGCCAGUCUAGGACCUGUGCCCUGCUCCCACCCAGGCAGAAGCUGGGACAGGGCCAUGGGGCAGCCCUCCCCCAUCCCAUAUUUGAGUUUCAGAAAAUGAAAAAGCCACUUGGGGCUGGGAGAGCCCUUUGUGCUGCCUGGGACCUGGUGGGGAUGCUGCUGGUUGCUGGGGCUGGUGGGCGUGUGGAAGGAGUGGGCUGGGGCACGUGGGGGACCGGUCCUCCUUGUCUGCUCUGCCAGCCGGCCCUCCCAGCCACCCUGACCCCACACUGCCUCCAGCCCCAGGGAGGCUCGGGAGAGCAGCACUUGUCCCUAGGGCUGUCGCUGCCUCCGGGGCUCUGUUUGUUUCUUGGGCCGACACGCUGUACUCCAUAUCUCAGGGUUCCAGGACAUUGGACAAGGUGAUCAGGCCCGUCUGGCUCCCACUGCCUCCCGUGCAGGGUGGAACACCAGCUUGCCUUGGACCUGGCCCUUCCUACCAGCUGCUCCUCCUGUGCUGACCUGUCCUGGGGGUCAGCAGUGAGAGUCUGGGUCCAAGGCCCAGAGACCUGGCCCCGUGGGCCUGGCAGGCUGCACGCUGGGGUCACCAGAGUGGGCACUGGGGCUGUUCCCCAAGCCUCUGGCUCCCAGGGACCAGGGAGAAGGCUGCUGAGACUUCCCACUGGAGCAGGCUGGGCAGCGCGGCAGGAGGAGUGGGCCAGCCACGUACCGGCCAAAGUGGCAGAGAACCAGGUGUGUGGUGUCCGAGCCCUUGCCCACCCUCGUGGUGACUCAGCUGCCAGGGCCUCAGCCUUCCGUGGCUACUGGAAUUCCCAGUAGCCUUCCACAGGCCUCGGGAAUUCCCACGUGCUCCCUCUGUGCUCCCUCCCGGUGGCUCUCCUUCCCCCUCCUCCGCCACUCCUUCCCCUCUGCCUAUGCUCUGCUUGCCCCACCCCCAGAGGGAGCUGGGACCUCCCUUGUCCUCCCAGCCCUCCUGUGUCCUCACCCCUGGGCAUUCCCGAAGCACUGAGCCUCAGGAGGGCUGGGCUGCACCUUGGGUCCCCGCCUGUCCCUGCUGCUACUUCCCCCCUGCCUGCCCCAGGUGGGCCCAGCUGGAUCCUUCCCAGGGACCUGCUCCCAGCACCCAGGAGAAGCCCAAUAAA